AUCGUGGCUUGCGCUCUCUUGGGCGUGUUUCUUGGCCAGUUCACCGAGUACAAUGGAAACCCAGGCAACAGAGGCGACCUGGGAUUCUCGGCAGACCCAGGAAACCCUGGCUAGUCCGGCUUCCAACACGUCAAGCCCUCCGCGUUUGAGAAUAAGGAAUCCAAUACGGCUUUCCCCGCCUCUCGUGCGGGUGUCGCAAACGGAGCGUACGGACGAUGGAACCCCCGCAUAUUGGAGAACAGUCAGGUGACGUACCCGAACGGCGCCUACGCCUACAAAUACAGGACCGAGAACGGAAUCUACGCUGCCGAGAGCGGCGGACCCUACCGGACUCGCAAUGGCCUGGAAAAGGCUGUCAACGGCAAGUACGGCUACAUCUCCCCCGAGGGAAUCCCCGUCAACGUCGUAUACACCGCUGACGGAUCCGGCUUCCGCCCCACGGUCCACAUCGGUUGGUAGAUCAUUACGUCAAUCACCCCCGACCGCCGACGUACCAACUCGCUUCGUUGAUGCUGAUACAGUAACCGAAAAAAUGUGAAGGGAUGCGAAGACCGUUACCCAAGAGAAGCGAUAAGGACCAGAAUCAUUGCGUACCCGAAAACGAAUUAGCCUAAAUUGUUACUGAUAAAUUUAAUUCCCAAAUCUGUUUAAUCAAAUUCUAUGGACCGCUUGCAGGUCGACAUCCGGCAUCGGAUUGCGAGAGUAGAUAAAUAAAUAAAGUUGCAAGUCUUUGGAACAAAACAAUUUGC